CACUUCUUUUGUGAUUCUUUAGUUACUUUAGGCCAUCUGGGCGUAUACAUGCAGGUCACAGGGGAUGCAAUGGCUUGGCUUGGGCUCAGAGGCCUGACAGCUACUAAGUCUUUAUUUUAUGCCAAAUUCUCCUCUAAAUGCAGUACAGUAUAUCUUAUUUCAUUUUAAUCCUCAUAACAGGUCUAAAGCAAAGAUACUAUUAUUAUUUUACAGAUAAGAAAACUAAAGCUUGGUGAAGUUAAGUCGCUUGCCCCGGAUCACACAGAUCGUGGCAAAACUAACAAUCAAAUUAGGGCCUGACUCCAGAGGCCAAGCUCUGACUUUUACAUGUGCUGCCUCCCAGUGGGAAGAGCUGGCAUCAAGAACGACAUCUUUCACACUGGACAUGUUCACAAAUGACUGGUGAAUACUAAGGGAUUAACAUAAGAUCACUAAACCACCUCUAUGCUCCUCUUUUUGAGAAAAAGAAAAGAAAAAUGAGAAACAAUGGAUCUUCAGAGCUAAGUUGAAGUUAAGGAUUAUUUAGUUUAUUCUCAUUGUUUUAUAAAUGAUUAAAGUAGACCCAGAGAGGACAUUUUUACCAUUGAUACUGCUAUGAUUACUACUAUUGUUGCUAUUAUCAUUGUCUUCAUGUUCUGAGGUAAUUCUGAGAAAUCUUUCUUUUUCAUCCACCAUGAAAUACUGUAGAAGACUCAAGGGCUCUUUGCCUUUUUCUUGAACUGGAGAUUUAGGAACCACAGCCCUCUGCCCACCAGUCCCCCUCCUGCACUCCCCACUCCUUAAGGAUAGAAUUAUUGAGUUUUAUAUAUAUAUAUAUAUAUAUUAUAUAUAAUAUAUAUCAUAUAACUUAUAACUUAUAUAUAUAUAACUCAAUCAAUAAUUCUACCCUGAAAAGAGGAGGAGCUUCAUUGAGCAACAAAGUGGGCAGGUUCCUGGUGAGGCCCCACCUUCAGGCCAGGGAGGGUCUGAAGGCUGAGGACCAGGCUGCCAGUCCUGCAGACCAGAGUGGGAACUUGUGGUGCCUUCUCCAGGCUUACCCAUGGCCACCCAUGGACCAAUCGGCACACACUUCCUCCCCUCUGAGGCCCAUAAAAGCCCUGAGAUCAGCCAGAGCAGAGCAGACAUCAGGACAACCAGCUGCAGAGAGAAGCAACCCACUCCAGGGCCGCCACACUGCUGAGAGCUAGGCAGACAAUGGGAUCACCUGCCUGCAGAGAGGAGCUUCCCACUUCAGGGUCUCCUCUCUGCUAAGAGCUAAACACUUGUCAGGACACUCUGGUUGUGGAAAGGAACUACCCUAUUGCUCAAUAAAGUUCCUCUUUAUCUUGCUCACCCUCCACUUUUCUGUGUACCUCAUUCUUCCUGGUCACAGGAGAAGAACUUGGGACCUGUCGAGUAGUGGGGCUGAAAGAGCUAUAAGACAAACAGGGCUGAAACAUGCCCCUAGAUCACCACAUUGCAGGCAAAGAGAAGGAGAGAAGAGCUGCAGCCCUUCAGGGAGCCCAGACCUGGGAACCGUCUGAGCCAGGUCUGUGACUUCCUCUUCAGAGCUCUGUGGUUCCUGGUGUCUCCAAGCUUCCAGGCAUA
rnacentral:lncRNA from 10 species